AUUGAACGCUGGCGGAAUGCUUUACACAUGCAAGUCGAGCGGCAGCGCGGCCUUCGGGCUGGCGGCGAGCGGCGAACGGGUGAGUAAUGCAUCGGAACAUGCCCAGUCGUGGGGGAUAACACUUCGAAAGAAGUGCUAAUACCGCCUACGUCCUGCGGGGGCAAGCGGGGGAUCGCAGGACCUCGCGCGAUUGGAGUGGCGGACGUCAGAUUAGCUAGUUGGUGGGGUAAAGGCCUACCAAGGCGACGAUCUGUAGCUGGUCUGAGAGGAUGAUCAGCCACACUGGGACUGAGACGCGGCCCAGACUCCUAAGGGAGGCAGCAGUGGGGAAUUGUGGACAAUGGGGGCAACCCUGAUCCAGCCAGUCCGAGUGAGUGAAGAAGGCCUUCGGGUUGUAAAGCUCUUUCGGCAGGAACGAAACGGUGGGCUCUAACAUAGUCCGCUAAUGACGGUACCUGAAGAAGAAGCACCGGCUAACUACGUG
rnacentral:rRNA from 1 species